CCUACGGGUGGCAGCAGUGGGGAAUAUUGGGCAAUGGGCGCAAGCCUGACCCAGCAACGCCGCGUGAAGGAAGAAGGCUUUCGCGUUGUAAACUUCUUUUGUCAGGGACGUAGCAAGUGACGGUACCUGACGAAUAAGCCACGGCUAACUACGUGCCAGCAGCCGCGGUAAUACGGAGGGGGCAAGCGUUAUCCGGAUUUACUGGGUGUAAAGGGCGUGUAGGCGGGACUGCAAGUGAGAUGUGAAAACCACGGGCUCAACCUGUGGCCUGCAUUUGAAACUGUAGUUCGUGAGUACUGGGGAGGCAGACGGAAUUCGUGGUGUAGCGGUGAAAUGCGUAGAUAUUAGGAGGAACACCAGUGGCGAAGGCGGUCUGCUGGACAGCAACUGACGCUGAGGCACGAAAGUGUGGGUAUCGAACAGGAUUAGAUACCCCUGUAGUC
rnacentral:rRNA from 1 species